AAGUUGGGUAAUAUACGGGUUGCUUAACAUAGGUAAAAUCUAUGUUUCAUCAAUCUCUUUCACACUCUGUCAACCUCUCAAAGCUCACGGAGACCAUUUUCCAGCAUCGAUUUUUCAAGAUUUCUCCGUCUCCUCUCCACGGACGCCUUCAUCAAUUUUUUUAAGGGCAGAGAUGUCUGCAGAGGUUAAUGAGGAGGCUAUUGACGAGUCGUGAUGUUAGUUCAUCAGUCCCAACAAAACGAGCUAAGAAAAAUACUUUCGUUGUUUGGAAUACAUUUAAAAAAUUGCCUCAUGCUAGUGUUGGUGAAAGGGGCAAAGUGUAAUGUAAGUGGGAACCACAUAUUAAAUUUAAUAGUGAAGGCUGGUUUGGAAAAAGCUAAUGCAUAUAUUGUAAAUAUUCGAGAAAGUGUUACACAUAUUAAACAUUCGGAAGGAAGAAUUUUGAUGUUCGUGGAAUGCAUUAAGAAUCUUGGACUACCGUGCUCAAAUAAGCUUCGCCAAGGUAAAAGCUGUUGAAGAUCAUUUUCAAAUAUUGUUUAAAGAAUACUUGGUACCUUCAACCUCAAUUUCCCUAUCGGAGGAGCAUGUUUAUAGUAGAUGUACUAAUGAAGCAAGGGAUGAGCUUAAAGAGUUUGAUGUGUUUGAGAACCAGUUGGAGUCUAGUAGAGAUAAAACACAAUUAGAUUUGUAUAUGGAGAAGCCUAAUCUUAAUCGUAAAGCAAAUCCAGAUUUGGAUGUACUUGCCUUUUGGAAGGAAAAUAGACUAAGGUUUCCAAAUUUCUCAUUGAUGGCACGAGAUGUCUUGAGUAUACCUAUUUCCACUAUUGCCUUAGAGUCUACCUUUAGCAUUGGAGUUCGUAUUAUUGGGAAGUUUCAAAGCUCUAUUUUACCUGUAAAUGGCAGGCAAAGUUGUGUACUAGAGAUUGGCUUUGCGAACAAGAAGAUUUCAAUGAAUCAAACACCGAUGAGGAUGAAAUUGCGGUAGACCUUCAGCCAUAUCUUGAUAAACUUGGUUUGCGUUGAUAGGUAGUUGUGUAAAAAUAGUUAUGAUUAGUUCGACGAUCAAGAGAAUUGAGCUACCAAUGUUGGUUAUUUCCUGGAGCUCCAACUUUGUAAGGCCUUGUUUAGUUGCUAAAGUAGUUAGGUUGGCUUUUUUGUGGCAGUACUUUGUUUAAUCUAAAACUACUUUAUUCAUUGUAAUGUUUGAAGUGACUUUGCAUUUUUUUCA